rnacentral:rRNA from 1 species
UAGGGAAUCUUCCGCAAUGGACGCAAGUCCGACGGAGCAACGCCGCGUGAGUGAAGAAGGAUUUCGGUUCGUAAAACUCUGUUGUUAGAGAAGAACAGCGCAUAGCGUAACUGCUAUUCGUGUGACGGUAUCUAACCAGAAAGCCACUGCUAACUACGUGCCAGCAGCCGCGGUAAUACGUAGGUGGCAAGCGUUGUCCGGAUUUAUUGGGCGUAAAGCGAGCGCAGGCGGUCAAUUAAGUCUGAUGUGAAAGCCCCCGGCUCAACCGGGGAGGGUCAUUGGAAAAAGGUUGACUAGAGUGCAGAAGAGGAGAGUGGAAUUCCAUAUGUAGCGGUGAAAUGCGUAGAUAUAUGGAAGAACACCAGUGGCGAAGGAGACUCUCUAGUAUGUAACUGACGCUGAGGCUCGAAAGCGUGGGUAGCAAACAGG